rnacentral:tmRNA from 1 species
GGGGGCGCACUGGUUUCGACGGGGAUAGUGAUGGUGUUUCGGCACGUCGAGGUUAUCGGUCACCUCGUUAAUCAACCGGUAAAAAACUAACAAGUGCAGACUAUAACUACGCACUGGCUGCGUAAAUAAAUUGCAGCCCGCCUGCCGUCAGCGAGCCCGUAGCUGGCGGAAGUGGCGUCGAUAAAUCGGGAUAGGUUUAAGAGAUUCCCCGGGUCUUAAACCGAAACUAACGGGGAUAGCGCUUAAGCAAACCUGCUUGUCGGUGUGCUUAUUCGCGAAGAUAAAGGAUAAGCUAAACGUGUAGAAGAAACACAGGAGUUAUCUUCGGACGCGGGUUCGAUUCCCGCCGCCUCCAUAU